rnacentral:rRNA from 1 species
GAUGAACGCUGGCGGCGUGCCUAACACAUGCAAGUCGAGCGAAGCACUCUACCUGAUUUCUUCGGGAUGAAGGUUUAGUGACUGAGCGGGCGUAGGGUCGAAGGUACGCCGUAGGUUAACGUGCCUCAUACAGGGGGAUAACAGUUAGAAAUGACUGCUAAUACCGCAUAAGACCACAGCACCGCAUGGUGCAGGGGUAAAAACUCCGGUGGUAUGAGAUGGAUCCGCGUCUGAUUAGCUAGUUGGUAAGGUAACGGCUUACCAAGGCAACGAUCAGUAGCCGACCUGAGAGGGUGACCGGCCACAUUGGGACUGAGACACGGCCCAG